GGACAAUGAUGAAAACCAUGAACAAAACACCAUCUUUCGGGACUGAUAGGUGCACUCUGUGUGCCAUGCUGUGAAAAUCUGCAAUUCUGAUGUCC